GCAAGCUUUUUUUUUCUUUUAAAGGCAUGACUUCAUUUACAGCAGAGUUGGCAGUUAAACAGAAGGCACUGUUCUAAAUAGGCAACUCUGUGACAAACCUUUGUUGCGUAACAUGCAACAGAAUACCCCCAUACGCCGCGAUGAACCAUCCUGACUUCUGCACAGGCAAUUGUCCCCAGCAGAGCUCAGGCUGGAAGGACGCUCAGGAGGCCUCUCAUCCGACCUCCUGCUCACAGCAGGACCAGCUGUAGGAGCAGAACCGGUUAGUUUGUGGCUUUAUUCAGUCGGGUCUUGAAAACCUUCAAGGCUAGAGAUCACAACCUCUCAGGACAACCAGUUCUUCCUAUAUUUGAUUGUCCUCAUAAGGAUUUUCCUUUCUUAUAUCUAACAGGAAUCGUUUCACCUUCGGUCCAUAAUCGCCACCCUCUCUUCCCUUGCACCACUGCCAGUAGCCCAGCUCCUUGGGAGCCUCCUCACAGGUACUGGAAGGUUCCUAUUAUGUCCCCUUAAACUUUCUCUUCUCUGCAAUAAUGCUGACUAAGAUUUUGAUUUAUUUCCUUCUCAGGUGCUCUCAAUAUCUUCAAAAACUAUCAGUGAAUGCUGGAGGGAGGAUAAAAUGCUCUGUGAGACCAGCAACGCAGGCUGCUUCUCUGCAGCUGUUAUGUUUAGGUGCUAGAGCGGGUGCUUGCCUCUUGCCUUUAGGGCAAGCCUUGCAUGCUGCAGCUCCAUCAGAGACCUGGGCAGCCAGCUUAGAGGGACUGUGAGCUGGUACUCCUCUGCUUCAGGGCUACAGGAGAGAAAUCUAGGGACAUCUGCAUUAUUUUUCACAGCAAGGAACAGCAAAGCAAAUUAUUAUUUGAGGCAGAGGUUGAAUUUGCCAACUAUGGCACCCAUGUGAGAAAUCAGAACUCUCUUCUGCUGAACCCAAGUGCUUUAUUUGAAGAAAUGGGCUAUGACAAGAGGGCAGACUGAGGCUGAGUAAAGAAACAAUCAAAACCAGAAGAGCUUAAAGAGAUUGCUUAAAGAGACGAUCCAAGAAGCUCAGAACACUCACAGUAGACUGUACAAGCAGGUGGGAGAGCAGGAAAUGCAAGACCCCAGCUGUAAGUUUUAAAAGGCCCCAUGAAGUUUAUAAAACCCUCUGACAAGCUGCCUAUUCCCUAAGCAGUGGCUGCUGCUCAGUGUUCACCAUUAUUAGGGCAGGGAGCAGCCCUGCAUUUUUCCCUGGGGCUGGGUUCACAGCAUGGCACUGCGGAGGGCAGAGGUCUGCACAUGGGCGCUGCCCCCACUCAUCACACCUGGCUCAGGAACACGGGGGAUCCAGAAGGCAGCCCCACCAACAACAGGGAUUGCUUAGUGGAGAGGAAUAAGACCAGGACUGAACAGAUAAACGGCGUAUGUGGCCAUACAUUAACCCAGCCUCCUAGCGGCAGGGAGAUUUCUCUCUUACAAACACCAAUGGCACUUCGAGUUUUUGUAAAGGUAUGAAAGAACAGGCUGCAGAGUACAACUGGGAGGAGAGCAAAAGGAAUGGAAGACCAAGCUUGCUGCUGCCUUGAAGUCGUGCACAACUUCCCUCACAACGAGUAAUCCAGGCCCAACCAUGCCCCAGCUUCCUGAAUGAAAGGAGGGCUGCCAGGAGCCUCCACCAGAACAACUUCUCGCCUCCUGCCAGAGCGUGCGACAUCAAGUGAACCACUUGAAAAAGGGAUGAAUUCUUAAACGGCUUCUUUUCUUGGAUCAGCUUAAAUCUGUUUGAACUUACCUCUAAAAAGAUCCAGAGAUCUCACAUAAUGAGGAAAAUCAUAUGUAUCAUACAAUUUCUUAUGGCUCUUUCACAGUCAUCAAGAGAAAUAGAAGGCAACAGACAACUGGGAAGCGAGCUGGAGAUGAAGCCUUAGAAUAAGUUGCUAAUUCUCGCCCAGCUUCCUCCCACGUAUUGUGGUAUCUUGACCUCGAUUUUAACUUUAUCAGUGGAAUAAUUACUACCAGGAAAGAAAACAAACAAACACCACUCAAAACAUACCAGGCAACUGAAUAUAGAGGUUUAUGACUCAAGUUUUAUUUCCAAUGACUCAAAAACUUAGUAGCAUAGCACACCACACUACCAACAACUUACCAGUGUGCAAUGAUAUGAUCAAGGAUGGAAAUUUUCUUAAUGUUAUCUCCUCUUAUCACUCUUUUGGGGACGGAUGGUAAGUUACAUAUAACCGCAUUAUUCAAUUGCGAGAGAAAGGAAAAUAUGAAGCCUGUUGAUGCAGCCCAGACCUGAGCUUAGCUGCAGGCCCAGAGCAGGAGUAGGAGGUGGGGGAGUGGAGGGUAGAGGCCCCAGCUGAGGAUGGCCAGGGCAAUUAGAGGCUGUUAGCGUAUGCAGGGCUCUGACAGGGUUUAAUAAGCAUUGACAUCUAAAUGGCUGGAGAAAAAAGAAACACCUGAGCUUCCUCUGAAUACAGAGCAAUGGUUAAAUAGAAAUUUCUGCAACAUGACAUCGGACGUAUGCAAGUUGCAACUAUUUUUUUUCCAGAAAGCAGAAGAAGACUGAAAGGAGGCUUCUGAAAAUGUAAAGCAGCUCCCCUUAUAUACAAGGUCCCUUUCCUGCUUCUUUUGAAAUACAUGUUACACGGGUACUAGAAAUAGUUAAUACAUAAGGAUUCUGUUAGUGUGUUGCUCCUACAGCUUCUGCUUUGGCUUAAAAAAAGGAAGAAAUAGAAAUAAGGACUUCUCCUUUGACGAUGGGUACGUGGCAUGUGAGCAGGUGAUUAGACAAUAUAUCAGACACUCCUGAGAGUCUGAUGUCUGCAGAUAAGUGACUGGAUGUUAACAAAAUAUAUUAUUGGUGCCUUCUGCCCCUGUUACUUCUGUUAUUAAGUGACAGUACCCGGGGGCCCCUGCUCAGAGCCAGACUGGCAUCCCACUGAGAACACACGUAUCACAAACCACAGGCCAGUCAGAAACAUUUACACGCUAGGACUAGAUCCCUGUCAAUACCAAUUGUGGGCAUUAUCACUGGAGGCUGCUGUUCUCACCAUCCAAACUGUACCUCUGCCAGCAACCUCACAGCAGAGACAGGCAGCAAGCGAGGUCGGUCUCCCUACCUAAAGGGUACAGGUUUCUUGGGUACAUGAGGCUCUAAAGCCUCUUAACUCUCUUUGAGGUGACUGGUAUUGGGAUUACCAAAGUCUAACUUGCAAAUGGACCUAUUAUUACAAACUGUUUUCUCAGAAACCUUUCCUGUUCUCAGAAGUUAUAUUAUUAGAGGAGCUUCUUGAGGGAACCUGAGCUUUGACAUCCAGGAAAGUUACUGGGAACACACAAAGUAAUUAGAAUUAAUUGUUCCACAAUAAAGGCAUUUAUUCCAGAUAAGAGCACAGUAACUUAAGGUACGAGGUUUAGUCACCUCACACUAGUCCAGGUUUCCUCUAGUUUUGCAACAGCAGCCUCCUGGCCAACCAGAGCCCCUGUAUACCUAUCCUCAGCAGCUCCUCUGGCAAUCACCAGGUCUCCAAAAGCCUGCUGGGCUGGUGGAAAACCUGUCAGCUGGCAGCCCUUCGUGUGAGGAGAGAAAGCCUCACAGCAGUUCUUCUGGAGCAGCCAGCAGGUGGCAACUUGCUACCCCACGUUAUUCUUUCCUGUGAAAAUGCCUCCACAAAGGGCACACCGCAGCCAAGGACCUCCUCUGGCACAGGGAAGCCUCUGAGCAGCCUUGCUGACCAGGAAAGCUCAGGACCCACCAGGGUGCACGGGCUGCUCCUCCCCUUCUCCUGAGGCAGCCGGCAGGUUACGAGCAAGAAGCACGGCCCAAGGCUGACCCCAGGGCUGUGUGUGACAUGGCAACAGCUCCGUCCAGUUGGGAGCGGAACGACCUGCCGAGAUCUAGCACAGCCUCAGUGCUUCAGUACCCGGGCACUGCGGGCCCACAGCAACACAGAUUUACAGGAGAUACUAACAAGUGCUUUGAGUUCAAACAGAGGAGUUCAGCACACUGCUCAAUCCAACUUCCCUCGUCAGACCACUUGCUAGCUCAGAAGGCAAAGGCAAUGCACAAGUGAUCGCACUGGCAAAAACAUGCUAGAUAAUGCAUGCCUGCCCUGCGCUACGAAGAGCACAGGAUUGUCUGUAAGCUCGUGCAAGUGCUCUCUAAACAGGUCCUACCAACAGAACUUCUUUUUCCACUGCAGGCUGGAGACUGCAACGUGAAACAAUCCAUGGCUCCUUCAGCCCGCUGUUACCUGACAGCCAGUGGCAGUCACCCGACAGAGCACAACACCUUGAGCCGUGUUACAGGAACCAUGCACCAGAGAAGGACUUCGGACACGGUACUGACUGCAUACCUUCCCUCUGACUUUCCAAGAUCCUAGUCCUUUUGGUGGGUCAAUAUAAAAGACAACUAAGGAUAUAAAGAAAGAUUUUCCAAAGAUUGUACAGGAAACCUCUAUGGGUGUUGAAGAACUCGCGAGGAAGAAGCAUACCUGACUGCUUGAAUCAUUUAAUCCAUUUCUAGUUUAAAGAAACAUUGUGAUUUUGUUUCUGAGCUAAUUUAAGUGUUAUCCUUCACUUCUCUCCUCAAUUCUGUGCUGCCAUUGCCAAACUGACAUCUAGUUACGGGCUGGUACAGAUGAGAAAAACAAAAUCCCAAAUUAUCUGAAGUAUCAUUUGGAUUAAAUGGGAGAUCCAAUUUACCACUAAGAUUUACCUGAAGUCAUACACACAAGUAGCAAGUACAACUAUUUUAAAUGGUUGUUCAGGUCCAACAGCUGUCUACCCUCAGCACUGAGAAAAUAUGGUCUCCAUUAAUAAAAUGGAAAAAAAGAGCUCUAGUCCCUUUGAUAGAGCCUAGCACAUCCCACAGUUCCUGCAUUUUACAGAAGGAAUAACCCCAACAGUUCACAGGCAAACACUUCAACACUGGUUAGGAUGCUAGUAAAAAUCCAAAAUCUCUGGGGCAAAAAGAAGAGACGGAAAAAACUCAGAAAGCAGAAAUUUUUAUCCCACUCAAUGAAUGAGGCCUCUGAGGCAAGGAGUGAAGUGGCUGCUUUCCGGUCACAUGGGAAAAGUGUAUGGGGAGCCAGGUACUGAACUGAUGCCUCCACCAUGUAUUCCUGAAAAACUAGUCUUUGCUGCCAGCAUACUGUUUGUAAGGUGAGAUAUUAUGGAAGAACCCUGUCAUUUGAAAACGAACAAACAAACAAACAACACUGGAAUUAAUAACACAAAGACUUUCUGAAAAUUACAGUGCACAAACAUACAAAUUCCUCAGUCAGCAACACAAUACUAAGAGAUACUCACAGAUUGUCAUUUUCCCAUUAUGUUUUAAACAUAUAUACAUGUAUAUAAUUUUCUAAAUAAGCCAUACAUAGUCGUCAAAGAAAUUUAUCUGUAGGUAAAGCGUUAACAAUUACGUAUGGAAACUAGUUAACCAGCCACUCCAUUACAUGCUACUCUAAAAUAACAGGCAUGACUUAAAAUGAUUGAAGAUCCAUGGGUGCUUUCUGCCAUUUCAAAAAUUCAGUAGAGCUAAUUGGUGCCUGGAGACAGUACGUUUCGGAAUUUAAGUGCCAAUGCUAAAUUGGAACAGCCUGCCAUUGCAGGAGCCGCACAAACAAAAAAGUCAGCACACAUUCUUCAAGAUUCCUCUGACUUCAUAAUGGGAAAAUAAUACUGAACUUAGAAAAUCACUGCCACUGUAGUUACUAAUAAAAAAGCUAGCCAAGAGCAUAUUACAAGAGGUAUAGUGACCCAAAGGCUCUCCCCUAACACAGCCAGAGCAUCUCUUCAGAGCCUUUGGCCUUUUUGUUGAAAUGCUAGAUUUGUGAACUGUGUGCGUUUGUGUACCCAGACGUUUUCAUGGCCCAGCCAA